GGGCUGGCUCCUUUUGGUGUCAGUUGACUUGAUUGGGCGGGUCCAAUAUCACCCGGAUUCCCCUUGAGAGAUUUUGGGGAGGCCUGACGGUCUCACCCAAUGGCUUGGGGUUCUGCCGGCUGUGAGGGGUGGCGGUUAACUCACUUUAAGCAAUCAAUUCUGAAGACAGAUCUAUUGGCUAGCAUUGCUGGCUGUACACUGAACAAAUACAGACAACUCUCAACAACGGAUAUCUUGGCUCCCGUAACGAUGAAGAACGCAGCGAAAUGCGAUACGUAGUGUGAAUUGCAGAAUUCCGUGAACCAUCGAAUCUUUGAACGCAAAUUGCGCUCGAGGCUUCGGCCAAGAGCAUGUCUGCCUCAGCGUCGGCUACUACCCUCAACUGAGUUUCCUAUGAAAGACUAGGGGAUGCCAGUUGGAUAUGGCCGUCCGGUUUGCCUUUCAGGCUGCCGGUCAGCUGAAAUAUAUUCACGCUCUGGGGGCUGCUUUCCUUGAAAGGCUACUUUCAAGGGGAGGCGAGUUCCGAUUUGGUAGGUGACCUUUGCCGGUUACAUGCCUUCGUUGCUCGCUAAGCUUCCCAAUAGUCGUUGUGCAGGACGCCUUUUGGCUUUCGACCUGAGGUCAGGCAAGAACACCCGCUGAACUUAAGCAUAUCAAUAAGCGGAGGAAAAGAA
rnacentral:rRNA from 1 species